GGGAAUAUUGGACAAUGGGCGCAAGCCUGAUCCAGCCAUGCCGCGUGUGUGAAGAAGGCCUUCGGGUUGUAAAGCACUUUCAGCGAGGAGGAAGGGUGUUGUUUUAAUAGAACAGCAUUUUGACGUUACUCGCAGAAGAAGCACCGGCUAACUCCGUGCCAGCAGCCGCGGUAAUACGGAGGGUGCAAGCGUUAAUCGGAAUUACUGGGCGUAAAGCGCACGUAGGCGGUAUGUUAAGUUGGAUGUGAAAGCCCCGGGCUCAACCUGGGAAUUGCAUUCAAAACUGGCAUGCUAGAGUAUGUGAGAGGGGGGUAGAAUUCCAAGUGUAGCGGUGAAAUGCGUAGAGAUUUGGAGGAAUACCAGUGGCGAAGGCGGCCCCCUGGCACAAUACUGACGCUCAGGUGCGAAAGCGUGGGGAGCAAAC
rnacentral:rRNA from 1 species